rfam:Schistosoma rodhaini strain Burundi genome assembly, scaffold: SROB_scaffold0000743
AUCCAGCUGAUGAGUCUUAAACAGAACAAAACGUACGUCCUAGAU